GGUACACUGCGCAGGCACAACAGAGCCGCUCCCCUCUCCUCGCCCCGCCACCGGGACGGAGAGCGCCCGCCGCUGCAUUUCCGGCGACACCUCGCAGUCAUUCCUGCGGCUUGCGCGCCCUUGUAGACAGCCGGGGCCUUCGUGAGACCGGUGCAGGCCUGGGGUAGUCUCCUGUCUGGACAGAGAAGAGAAAAAUGCAGGACACUGGCUCAGUAGUGCCUUUGCAUUGGUUUGGCUUUGGCUACGCAGCACUGGUUGCUUCUGGUGGGAUCAUUGGCUAUGUAAAAGCAGGCAGCGUGCCGUCCCUGGCUGCAGGGCUGCUCUUUGGCAGUCUAGCCGGCCUGGGUGCUUACCAGCUGUCUCAGGAUCCAAGGAACGUUUGGGUUUUCCUAGUUUGCUGAUGGUCGCCAAAGUUGGAGUUAGUAUGUUCAACAGACCCCAUUAGCAGAAGUCAUGUUCCAGCUUAGACUGAUGAAGAAUUAAAAAUCUGCAUCUUCCACUAUUUUCAAUAUAUUAAGAGAAAUAAGUGCAGCAUUUUUGCAUCUGACAUUUUACCUAAAAAAAAAGACACCAAACUUGGCAGAGAGGUGGAAAAUCAGUCAUGAUUACAAACCUACAGAGGUGGCGAGUAUGUAACACAAGAGCUUAAUAAGACCCUCAUAGAGCUUGAUUCUUGUAUAUUGAUGUUGUCUUUUCUUUCUGUAUCUGUAGGUAAAUCUCAAGGGUAAAAUGUUAGGUGUCAGCUUUCAGGGCUCUGAAACCCCAUUCCCUGCUCUGAGGAACAGUGUGAAAAAAAGUCUUUUAGGAGAUUUACAAUAUCUGUUCUUUUGCUCAUCUUAGACCACAGACUGACUUUGAAAUUAUGUUAAGUGAAAUAUCAAUGAAAAUAAAG
rnacentral:lncRNA from 1 species